CAGGCGAUGGAAGCCGUUAGGGCGUGGCGGAACCGGAAGGCGGCCUAGGGACGCACGCAGGCUCGGCUGUCUCUUUAGGCCACGGAGCUGCGUAGAUCCGGAACCCUGGGCGACUGAUCUGUCCCCAUUGGGCGAGACCUACCUAGACAAAGGCCUUAACAUACCGACAAAGGCCUUAAGGGGCCUGGGAGGCAUGAACCUUCAGAGCCCUGAGCUGCCUUGUAAGAAGUCUAGCUAGCAAUGCCACCAUGCUGGAGAGAUGAUGAGGGAAAACUACAUACAGACACAAACAGAGUGAGACACUCAAGAAGCCCUAGUUGUGGAAUACAGCAGUGCUAUGGAGGCUUGACAUAACCAUCUACUUUUCCAGAAACCCACAUUGUCUAAGGUAAAAUAACUGCUCUGGAAAAGAAGGCAAGAAAGUAAAACAAGGCAAUUUCACCACAGCCAUCAUCAGGA
rnacentral:lncRNA from 1 species